rnacentral:lncRNA from 1 species
GGUCCGCAUGGCGAGAUACCAACAGCGAACGGCCCAAUACUACAACUCUAGAGUCAAGCCCAAGCUCUUCAAAGUGGGGGACCUCGUCCUCAGGAGAGCCGAGGCUUCUCAACCGACUGAGCGAGGAAAGCUCGCCCCAAAUUGGGAGGGGCCGUAUCAGAUCGCCCGGGUACAACGACCAGGGGCGUAUAAAUUAAAGUCCCUAGAGGGGACCCUGAUCCCGCGAAGCUGGAACUCCGAGAAUCUACGAAUGUACUACCAAUAAAACUCCUAGGGGUUCAAGACAAUCAGGACAAUGGACUCAGCUUCCUUUUCGCAAACAAUUCUCUUAUCUUGAUGGCUGUAAUUCUCUUCUAAUAUUGGGUCGUCUGUGAUCCUCAGAUUCUUCGGCCAAAAUCGGGAUGCCUCGAGGCUCGACCGUAGAGUCCCAAACUCCCUCGACCUCGGG